rnacentral:rRNA from 1 species
AACGAACGCUGGCGGCAGGCCUAAAACAUGCAAGUCGAACGAACCUUCGGGUUAGUGGCGCACGGGUGCGUAACGCGUGGGAAUAUGCCCUUCACUGCGGAACAACGUCGGGAAACUGGCGCUAAUACCGCAUAAUGACUCCGGUCCAAAGAUUUAUCGGUGAAGGAUUAGCCCGCGUCUGAUUAGGUAGUUGGUGAGGUAACGGCUCACCAAGCCGACGAUCAGUAGGGGGUCUGAGAGGAUGAUCCCCCACACUGGAACUGAGACACGGUCCAGACUCCUACGGGAGGCAGCAGUUAGGAAUAUUGGACAAUGGGGGCAACCCUGAUCCAGCCAUGCCGCGUGUGUGAAGAAGGCCUUAGGGUUGUAAAGCACUUUCAGCUGUGAAGAUAAUGACAGUAGCAGAAGAAGAAGCUCCGGCUAAAUUCGUGCCAGCCGCCGCGGUAAGAC